rnacentral:lncRNA from 1 species
AUGUUUAAGUUUAAUCAGUUGCUUCAUUGAUCUGUCCUCCAGGGCAGGAAUAGUAAUGAUGGCCCCAAUAACAACAUCUAUGGAAAAUCAGUGGUAGUGGAUGGAACUUGGAAGAGGAGAACUGAGAGACACAAAUGAAGAAGACCCAGGCUUAGUUUCAUCUGUAUGCCAAUGUUGCCGGAAGCUGUUCCUGCAUCUGAAUAUAUAAGGAUGGACACAUUACAAAGUCAUUUGCUGAACUAACCUCAACGGAACUUAGAAACCAGAUGUCCCAAAAAAGAAAGGACAUUAGCAGCAUGUCAUGGUACCUCCCUGACAGCCUGAUAAAUUGUCUCCUUCCUCGUCCUUCAACCACCCUUACUACUGACUGAGAAGUUGGAGCAUCCAGCCUGCUGUGAGCCCUGAC